AGUGUAAUGGUGUUAUUUUGCUUACUUCUCUUGAUGAAUAAUUAGCACGUUUAAUGGAACUUGAAAAUAUUAGUUAUAUAUAAAUGUGCUCUUGUUUUCAGUGUACUUUUAUAAAUCUUUUGUAAUGUCUUUGUUAUCAGAGCCCUUCAAAUUAAACAUAGUGAUGGUGAUCUUGUCAAUGCUGAGAUUUUAAUGCCUCAACAGCCAUUACAUCUGUCUGGAUCAGGAUUGAACAAGAAACAGACAGCAAGGGUUGUCAGGUCAGAAACGUGAUGACACACAAACAUAAGAAACUUCACAGGCGGCAAUUUCUUUUUCCACCGGUGGGUGCUCAUCACAACCUCCAGCUUUACUGGACGCCAGGUGCUCUGGAGCGCUCAAAAGCUUUGAAGAGGUGGAAAGCAGUGCAGUCAUGUUUUCGUGUGAUUUUAGAUGCGAAUUGUAAAGUUAAAGGCAGAUCACUGUGCAACUUGGUGAAGUCACGUGUCUUACCAGAUGCCAAAAUCUG